CUGCUGCCUUCCGUAGGAGUCUGGGCCGUGUCUCAGUCCCAAUGUGGCCGUCCGCCCUCUCAGGCCGGCUACUGAUCGUCGCCUUGGUGGGCCGUUACCCCGCCAACUGGCUAAUCAGACGCGGAUCCAUCGUAUACCGCCGGAGCUUUUCACACUGUCCCAUGCGGGACCGUGCGCUUAUGCGGUAUUAGCACCUGUUUCCAGGUGUUAUCCCCCUGUAUACGGCAGGUUAUCCACGCGUUACUCACCCGUCCGCCA
rnacentral:rRNA from 1 species